UACGUAGGGUGCAAGCGUUGUCCGGAAUUAUUGGGCGUAAAGAGCUCGUAGGCGGUUUGUUGCGUCGGCUGUGAAAUCCCGAGGCUCAACCUCGGGUCUGCAGUCGAUACGAGCAAACUAGAGUGUUGCAGGGGAGACUGGAAUUCCUGGUGUAGCGGUGAAAUGCGCAGAUAUCAGGAAGAACACCGAUGGCGAAAGCAGCUCUCUGGGACGGUACUGACGCUGAGGCGCGAAAGCGUGGGGAGCGAACAGG
rnacentral:rRNA from 1 species